CCUCUCUCUCUCUCUCCUCCCUCCUCCCUCCUCCCUCCUCCCUCCUCCCUCCCUCCCCAAUUCUCUCUCUCUCUCUCUCUAUCCUUCUCUCUCUCCGGAAUUCGCAUUUCCACAAAAAACGACAUCCCACUGUUUUAUUGCAAUUUCUACUGUGCCCGGAAUGCGAUUGCUGGAGUUUGAUUCGCCACUUAUUUGUUAAUUCUCUCAGUGGCUGUGAUUCAAAGUUGCAGACUUUGCACAGUGGAAGCACAUUCACAUUAGCGUGAGUUCUGGAUUUCCUUGGAAGGAGAGAGGAAAAGAAAGAAAGAAAGAAGGAAUUAUGCUUUCUUUGAUUGGAAUUUGAAGCAAUUCGAUCACUUUCCCAUUCAACUUCCCCGAUCCAAGAAAACCCUGCUAUGUGAGAAAAGGCUUUGUACAGAAUUUUCUGCAGCUAUGUGAGAAAAGACUUAGAGUACUUGGAUCUAACGGCAAUGACGUUUUAGGAUUCAUAUAAUCGACCCCACUUAGUGGGAAAAUGAUUUGUUGUUGUUGUAUGUGAGAUUGAACUGAUUUUUAAUUUUAUCUGUGUUUGAUCCUAAGGCGAUGGUUUUCCCGGGAAUUGUAAUUUUCUAAGAACAAGUACGGUGUAAUUUCAUCGUUCACAUCGAAUAAGUAUUUAAUUAAUUUGUUCCUAACUUGUUUGUAGUUGUUUAAAGACUUAAGAAUUGAUCAC